UUGAAAAUUUUGAGUUUUAAUGAUAAAGAUAAAAUAAAAGGUAAAAUGAAUAGUAUCCUGUUUGACUUUUUAGUAUAAAAAUAUAAUUUUUCGUUAAAGUAAAUAGUAUCACGGCCAUUUCGUGAAUACUCUCGGUAAUAGUAUCGUCCCAGUUGUUUGGUGCCUUGUGUAGCCACCGGAUAAAAUAAUCCUGUCCCACCAUUUUCAGACACUCCACACCCGCUUAGUUAUCCUCUCCAAUAGGUUGGUAUAAUUAGUCGGGUUCACGCUCUCGUUGGCUCUUCUCCGACCCUCUCUGCUCCUGCGCAACGCGAACUCCACCAAGGUAUUGCUGCUUUGUCUCUCCCUCCUUCUCAACCGCCAGCAAAGGCUCCGGCGACGGAGGAGCCCAAGAAGGAAGAAAAGGCAGCCAGGCAAACGAAACCCAGAUUUAUGGUCACGUUCUUCAAUUUUUGCAUCUGGAGGAAGACUCGACGCUACAGCUAAAAAAGUCGGCGGCGAUAGGGAAGGUGAUCAAGAUUAGGCCUCGUACAAGCUCUCCGAAGCGAGCAAUAAGGAGAAAUCUGCUGCCAAAACAACUGCCGUUUCGAAACCCAAAUCGAAGAAGACCAAAACGACUUUCCAUGUUGAUUAUUCUAUCAAAUUUUUUUCCUUUUUUUCAUUUUAUUAAUAGUUUUUUUGUUUUUAAACUAAGAUGUAAAUUGAUUUUUUCAUAAAAAGUAAUAAUAAUACGAUUUAUCCUGUA